rnacentral:rRNA from 1 species
GACGAACGCUGGCGGCGUGCCUAAUACAUGCAAGUCGAGCGCAGGAAAUCGACGGAACCCUUCGGGGGGAAGUCGACGGAAUGAGCGGCGGACGGGUGAGUAACACGUAAAGAACCUGCCCUCAGGUCUGGGAUAACCACGAGAAAUCGGGGCUAAUACCGGAUGGGUCAUCGGACCGCAUGGUCCGAGGAUGAAAGGCGCUUCGGCGUCGCCUGGGGAUGGCUUUGCGGUGCAUUAGCUAGUUGGUGGGGUAAUGGCCAACCAAGGCGACGAGGCAUAGCCGACCUGAGGGGGUGAUCGGCCACACUGGGACUGAGACACGGCCCAGACUCCUACGGGAGGCAGCAGUAGGGAAUCUUCCACAAUGGACGAAAGUCUGAUGGAGCAACGCCGCGUGAACGAUGAAGGCCUUCGGGUCGUAAAGUUCUGUUGUAAGGGAAGAACAAGUGCCGCAGGCAAUGGCGGCACCUUGACGGUACCUUGCGAGAAAGCCACGGCUAACUACGUGCCAGCCGCCGCCGUAA